rnacentral:ncRNA from 2 species
ACACACGUAUUGAUAAGGACACGAAGGAAUGAUACCGGCUCAAAGAGAGGGAAGCCCUGGCUGCAAGCUUCCCAGCUAAGGACCAUUCGCUUUACCGCCUUUGAACUUCAGCUGUGAACCUCUUGAAAAGGAACAGUAAUGGCUGACGGGAACUCCCGUUACAGAGCUUAGAGCCGCAGGUGCCGUGUAUUGGCUUUGCGGAAAAAAGGGUGGAACCACGAUUCCGUUUAUUCAACCUCGUCCCUUUC